GUCUCAGGGCGGGGUGAAAGUCCCCACCGGCGGUAAACCGGCACAGACCGGCAAGCCCGCGAGCGCGUUUCCCCGUGGAAGGGCGCUGAUCCGGUGCGAUUCCGGAGCCGACGGUAACAGUCCGGAUGGAAGAGAU
rnacentral:ncRNA from 1 species